rnacentral:rRNA from 1 species
UACGUAGGUGGCAAGCGUUGUCCGGAUUUACUGGGUGUAAAGGGCGUGUAGCCGGGCUGACAAGUCAGAUGUGAAAUCCGGGGGCUCAACCCCCGAACUGCAUUUGAAACUGUUGGUCUUGAGUAUCGGAGAGGCAGGCGGAAUUCCUAGUGUAGCGGUGAAAUGCGUAGAUAUUAGGAGGAACACCAGUGGCGAAGGCGACUUACUGGACUGUAACUGACGUUGAGGCACGAAAGUGUGGGGAGCAAACAGG